rnacentral:tRNA from 1 species
AUUUGAUAAAUAAACUUUUUGAUUUCGAAUCAAAAUAUAUAAUCAAAUAAAACA